UACGGAGGGUGCAAGCGUUAUCCGGAUUCACUGGGUUUAAAGGGUGCGUAGGUGGGUCUGUAAGUCAGUGGUGAAAUCUCCAGGCUUAACCUGGAAACUGCCAUUGAUACUAUAGGUCUUGAAUUAUCUGGAGAUCAGCGGAAUAUGUCAUGUAGCGGUGAAAUGCUUAGAUAUGACAUAGAACACCGAUUGCGAAGGCAGCUGGCUACAGGUAUAUUGACACUGAGGCACGAAAGCGUGGGGAUCAAACAGG
rnacentral:rRNA from 1 species